UUCUGCUCUUCGGUGAACGCGUGCACGAUGUCCCAGAACUCCCUGCGAGGAGAAAGGACGCCGCUGACUGCACUGGCUGCCUCAGCGCCCAGACCUGUAGCCUGGAGAACAGUCCCAGUGCUCGGACGUGGAGCCUGCAGCACCUCCCUCGGAAGGAAGGACCGCACGCCCCAUGCAGGUCGUACAUCAUGGGGUUACCGAACAGAUCCGUCUGCGAUAUCUGGAAAGUGAUCAUCAUGUCGUCCUCCACGCUCCCCUCGUAC